AUACAUGCAGUCGAGCGGACAGAUGGGAGCUUGCUCCCUGAUGUUAGCGGCGGACGGGUGAGUAACACGUGGGUAACCUGCCUGUAAGACUGGGAUAACUCCGGGAAACCGGGGCUAAUACCGGAUGCUUGAUUGAACCGCAUGGUUCAAUUAUAAAAGGUGGCUUUUAGCUACCACUUACAAAUGGACCCGCGGCGCAUUACCUAGUUGGUGAGGUAACGGCUCACCAAGGCAACAAUGCGUACCCAACCUGAAAGGGUGAUCGGCCACACUGGGACUGAAACACGGCCCAAACUCCUACGGGAGGCAGCAGUAGGGAAUCUUCCGCAAUGGACAAAAGUCUGACGGACCAACGCCGCGUGAGUGAUGAAGGUUUUCGGAUCGUAAAACUCUGUUGUUAGGGAAAAACAAUUACCGUUCAAAUAGGGCGGUACCUUGACGGUACCUAACCAAAAAGCCACGGCUAACUACGUGCCAGCAGCCGCGGUAAUACGUAGGUGGCAAGCGUUGUCCGGAAUUAUUGGGCGUAAAGCGCGCGCAGGCGGUUUCUUAAGUCUGAUGUGAAAGCCCCCGCCUCAACCGGGGGAGGGUCAUUGGAAACUGGGGACUUUGGAGUGCAGAAGAGGAGAGUGAAUUUCCCACGUGUAGCGGGUGAAAUGCGUAGAGAUGUGAAGGAACACCAGUGCCGAAGGGCGACUCUCUGGUCUGUAACUGACGCUGAGGCGCGAAAGCGUGGGGGAGCGAACAGGAUUAGAUACCCUGGUAGUCCACGCCGUAAACGAUGGAGUGCUAAGUGUUAGAGGGUUCCGCCCUUUAGUGCUGCAGCAACGCAUUAAAGCACUCCGCCUGGGGAGUACGGUCGCAAGACUGAACUCAAAGGANUGACGGGGC
rnacentral:rRNA from 1 species